GUCAAACCCUUGGUGCCCACCUGUGAUACUGGAAAAAUAUAUUCGACUACUUAUUUCUUUUAACAAGAGGCAUGAGAACAAAAGUUCGUGUUGAUGCACAGAUUGUGGUACCUAAGGAUGUGCACCAUAGACCAGCCAGAGAAUCAAGGACAGGAAGGGAGUCGGGACGACAUAUUCCGAAGCUCGUCUUGAAGAUGCGACCGACUAUAACCAAGAAACAGGUUCAUAUCAAACGAUAAGAAUAAGGGACAAUAAGAACAUGAAGAACAUGAAGAAGAAAACGAUGAAUCGGGCGUUUGUUUGAUUUUGUUACCCGAGACCGUAGAGCGGAACGGAGAAGGUGAUUGAUGAUAGCCAUUGUAGGAUGUGCUCUCAAAGCUUCAAAUGGCUGCACACACACACUCACAGAACAUAAGAGCUGUGAUAUUUAACCACAAAUUUGGAACUGACUUAGCUUGUUGUUCAUCCUUCCUUUUUCUCCAAUUCUUUAUAAUAUUUUGAACGCAUUAAAAA